rnacentral:rRNA from 1 species
ACGGGAGGCAGCAGUGGGGAAUAUUGCACAAUGGGGGAAACCCUGAUGCAGCGACGCCGCGUGAGCGAAGAAGUAUUUCGGUAUGUAAAGCUCUAUCAGCAGGGAAGAAAAUGACGGUACCUGACUAAGAAGCUCCGGCUAAAUACGUGCCAGCAGCCGCGGUAAUACGUAUGGAGCAAGCGUUAUCCGGAUUUACUGGGUGUAAAGGGAGCGUAGACGGAACAGCAAGUCUGAUGUGAAAGGCGGGGGCUCAACUCCUGGACUGCAUUGGAAACUGCUGAUCUUGAGUGUCGGAGAGGUAAGCGGAAUUCCUAGUGUAGCGGUGAAAUGCGUAGAUAUUAGGAGGAACACCAGUGGCGAAGGCGGCUUACUGGACUGUAACUGACGUUGAGGCUCGAAAGCGUGGGGAGCAAACAGGAUUAGAUACCCUGGUA